rnacentral:rRNA from 1 species
AUUGAACGCUGGCGGCAGGCCUAACACAUGCAAGUCGAACGAGUGGCGGACGGGUGAGUAAUGUCUGGGCAACUGCCUGAUGGAGGGGGAUAACUACUGGAAACGGUAGCUAAUACCGCAUACCAUCGGAUGUGCCCAGAUGGGAUUAGCUAGUAGGUGGGGUAAAGGCUCACCUAGGCGCCGAUCCCUAGCUGGUCUGAGAGGAGGACCAGCCACACUGGAACUGAGACACGGUACAGAGUCCUACGGGCGGCCGAAGUGGGGAAGAUUGGACAAGGGUCGAAAGCCUGAGCCAGCCAUGCCGCGUGUGUGAAGAAGGUGUUCGGAUUGUAAAGCACUUUAAGUUGGGAGGCGUUACCAACAGAAUAAGCACCGGCUAACUUCGUGCCAGCAGCCGCGGUAAUUC